GACGAAGGAUGCAAGCGUUAUCCGGAUUCAUUGGGUUUAAAGGGAGCGUAGGUGGCCUUAUAAGUCAGUGGUGAAAUCUCUGGGCUUAACCCAGAAAUUGCCAUUGAUACUGUGGGGCUUGAGUAUAGUUGCCGUUGGCGGAAUAUGACAUGUAGUGGUGAAAUACAUAGAGAUGUCAUAGAACACCGAUUGCGAAGGCAGCUGACGAAACUAUAACUGACACUGAGGCUCGAAAGUGCGGGGAUCAAACAGG
rnacentral:rRNA from 1 species